CCACACCCACUGCAUAUGGAAGUUCCCAAGCUAGGAGUCGAAUCGGAGCUAUAGCUGCCGGCCUACACCACAGCCACAGCAACUCAGGAUCCAAGCUGCGUCUUAUACCACAGCUCAUGGAAAUGGCGGAUCCUUAACCCACUGAGGGAGGCCAGGGAUCGAACCUGCUUCCUCAUGGAUACUAGUAGGGUUUGUUAACCGAUGAACCGCGAAGGGAACUCCAUAUACCUUUUUUAAAAGUGUGGAAUAGGAAGUUCCUUAUGGCACAGCAGGUUAAGGAUCCAGCAUUGCCGAAGCUGUGGUGCGGGUUUGAUCCCUGGCCCGGGAACUUCCAUAUGCCACAGACAGCCAACAAAAAAGUGUGGAAUAGAAAUUUCAGUCACAUAUAUCUAUUCUUAUUUCCCUUGCAUAUGGAAAUAAACCUUAACUAUAUGAAGCCAUGGUUGAGAGUUGAAGAGGAAGUGACAGUGUCCAAAAAGAAGCAGGGCAGAGUUUAGAGGAAAAGUGAUAGGUAGAAAGGUAAGAGAGUAUGAAUGAUUUGUGUAAAAAGAUGGCCAAGGAAAAGGAAAGAAUGAUCGUUAAAGUAUCUUGGAUGACCCUGGAAGUAUCCCUUCUUCUCAUAUGUGCACUACAGACAAACUUGAGACAGCUGAAGAGUGAGAGUUCCAACUGGAAAUUUUAAAAAAUUUAUUCUUUUUAAUCACAUGCAGUUAAUUCAUAAAAAUUAAGGCUCUAAUGAUUUUAGGGACUUGCGAUGGCAGCUGACCGAGUUCCUAGGUCAGGCCUCUUGUUGGUUUGAAGCAUUUUUCCUGUUAGAACAGCAUUCUGACUGUUGAUCAGGAAACGCUAAUAGGUAGUUUUGCUCAUGUCUGAGGUCACAGCAACCUAGCAAGCUUCUUCAGUGGAUGUUUGGAGAGUACAAGAGGCUUUUGUGUACAUGAUAACACCAAAAGAAUGGCAAAGAGACAGGCUAUCAGGAAGUGAGAAUUUGCAUGGAUCACAGGGCCAGAGGCACAUAGUGUAGAAGAAAAUAGAAAUGUUGAAAAAUUGGAAUUAACUUUUGCGGGUAUUAUGAUAUACUGUAUUAUUUUAUCAUCAUCAUCAAGAGCAUUGAUUUUACAUAACAAGAGUAGUUUGUAAUUUAUAAAUCUGACAUGUCAUAAACUUUUUAGAUCUGAGCAUUUAUUACUGUAGUGUUAAAUGCUUUGUGUCAGGUAACCAUGGAUGGCAGAGAUGAUGAGGAAGACAAAUAGACAAAUAAAAAGGAAUGCUUGAAAAAAUUCAUAGGGCUAUACAGAAGCAUUAGGGUUAUAAGAGGGAACAGUUCCAUAAAAAAGAGAAAGACAAGGAAAAAAGUAAUGUUUAUUUUAUUGGCAGCUGGAUGUAAUUGACUAUUUUCUCACUUGUCUGCUCCCAUAUUCAGAUGAGUAGUUCUAUUCACUACUCAUUUCUUGGAGGUAUUAUAGGACUUAGACUCCAGCAUGUUGAUUGAAGUGUAAUUACAGCCCUUGAGCUAUUUUGGGGAUAGUCUGGUUUCCCUGUAACUCUUUUCACACUUGAUACUGAGGCAGCAAGCCCAGUGGUUAAGAGAGCAUAGGUUUGAAAUCAGUCUUGAGUUCAAGUCCUAAUCUGUUACUUCCUAGUUAGUUUAAUGUAAAUAGUUUUGAUUUUGAUGAGCCUCAGUUUCUUCAUUUCUGGGUGGAGUUAGUAAUACCUCUCCCUCAGGAUUUGGGUAGAUUAAGGGAGAAAUCAGGGAAGUACUGUGCCUGAAACUGAGUGUAAAUAAAUAGUAACUGAUGUGAAUGGAAAUGAGGAUGUGGAUGAUGACGUCAGCUUGAAAUCAAAUGGCCAUAAGUUUAAAUGUGUAUAAAAGACAUUGUAGAGGAGUGUCCUACACCAUUAGAAUAUAGAAUGAAAAUUUAUCAAAUUCUUGCUUGACCAAGUUCUUAAGGUAUGUCCCUAUCUAGCAUAGAAAUCAAAGUUUAUAUAAGAGUUGCAGAUUUGACUAAGGACUCUGUUAUUAAUCAAAACCCAUGCUAUUGCAGGACUGUACAGUGAAUGGUAAGUUUUAGAUUUAAUUUUUUCUCUUUUGUCAAGUAUUACUGCUGGAUAUAAAGUGUCAGGAGUGGUAGAAAGAAAGUAAUGUCUAAUGGAUGCACCUUUAAAAAAAUGUAAUAUGAUCGAAACUCAUUCACUUUUUAAUGAGGAAUUCUUUUUAAUAGAGGGAAUUCUCUAUUCAAAUUUGCAUACCCAACAACAAUAUAUUUCUGCCUUUCUUCUUGAGUGGUGAGGAACUUAGCCUUGGAAGAGACAGAUAAAAUAUGUUCCAAUGAAAAGUAGCAAAGUUAUAUGCCAUCAGAAUGCACUUGUUCCUGGUUCCAAACUAACAUUCCAGGAUUUGUGAAAAUGAAAUGGACCAAUGUAGGCCAGCCUAAAGAGAACUAAACUAUAGAUAAAUCCAGUCUUAAAAUGUUUGCUUUGAUUUUGCCCAUUCAUUUCUCUUCAACUCAGUUUGAAGUAGGACCGUGUUAUUGAAAUGGCAGAGUUGGUUUAGAUUAAAAAAGCCCCAUUGCUUGAGACCUCAAAUUGAAAUGACUUCCAAGUUAGGAUACAUAGAACAUUUAUGGUCCUGAUUAUAAUAACAGUGUGCUCAUCUUAAUUUAUUCUCCGUAACUGACAACAAACAGAAUUCAGUAUACUUUUGGAGACCUUAAAGGUAGGAUUGUCUGAAGAGGGGACAACAUUCAGUGUCUGAGAUUUGGUUUGUGUUAUUAAACUUCUUGAAACUACUGCUAACGGAAUGAUUUUCCUCAUUAUAGAUGUAAAUCGGACAGCUGUGGAGACCUCAGAUCUUGCAUUUUUGGUUCGUCGUAGGCAAACUUGUAUUUUCAAGGAAAUCUUUUUUUUUCCCCUUCUAGAACUGGUAUUGGUAAUUUCACCAUGGUAGAGUAUUUUAUUUUUAUUGCUACUGAUUCGCUCGUAAUCCCCUAUUGACUUAUCAGAGACGCACACCACAGGCGGGCAGGUAGACUGACACUCUCCUGCCCUUUAGGAGCUGAGGGUGCGAGUUCCUCUCCCCUCCCCCACCCUCCCCCCCUCCCCGACCCGCGCGCACACACCCUGUGUCUCCCUGACACGAAUGAGCGUUUCCUCCGUGCUCACCCAACUCUCGCUAAGGUGCUCAGGGGUGUCAUCGACAACAUAUUGAAAAAUGAAAAUGACAUCCUCGGGGGCAAGGGCGGGGAGAACGGAGGUCUGCAUGGGAAAAUACAUUCCCUGGGCGGGAAUUUCUUCAACGUUUCGAGCUCGUGAAGUCGUCGGGUAGAGGCUGGGGAAUUUCCCCAGCCUUCCCCCCUCCCCCACCCCCGAGCCCAGUCGGAGGCCGAGCUGCGCGCGCCGCGGAGAUGCGCAGGCUUUGGGAUUCACCUCUUCAGCCGCUGGGAGGCCCUCUGCGUUCCCCUUUCCCCGGCGCCGGCCGCCUGGCUCGCCCGUGCAGUGGCACCCGCCUUCCACCAGGGAGCCUCGGGCCAGCUCUCCCCCCGCCCUCCGCCCCCCCACCCCCCUCUGCAGCUCGCUGGCUCUCUCUUUCUCCCUCUGUCUCACUCUCUUUCUCUCCCUCUCCUAUCGGAGCACAAUGAAAGCCUGUGUAUCGCCGUGACUCCGGGCAGCGGAGCCAGUGUCAGCCAAGCGGCGAACAACAGACGGGAAAGAGAAAGGAAAAGACCAGCUACUUUCUUUUCCAUCUCUAAAGCGGAGCAAUCCAAGAGGUAGAACCACAUUGCUUAUUGAGAGUCCAGACCCUCAGAUCCACUGGCCGGGGAUGGAAUGUACAAAAGUGGACAGAAAAGUGGCUGGACAUGACUCGGUGCAAUUUGCUGGAAGUUUGUAAGUUUGACCAUCGUUUGUAAAUUACUCUCGGAAGAGUUUGUCUCUCUUGAUACUGUAUUAGAAUCGAGCCGGGGGUGAGGAAUAGAAACGUAAGCGGGAAAGGAAAAAAAAAUGUGUUGAAGGAUUCUCUUCUCAGUGGCUAGUGACUUCAGACUGCUUUCAUUUAAGGCUGGGAAACCUUAGAGGGAAUGAGGAUUUUUACCGGUGAUUGGAUUAGCUGAAGAAAAAAGCAUGGUCCAAAAGUCCAAUUACUGACAUUAACAAUUGAAAAGCCGUCUCCCUCUUUGGGGAGAAGACAACAUCCUACAGUACCCCCCCCCCCAAGAGGAGAAAACACCGGAGCGAAGGGAAAGGGAGGAAAAAUUAAAAGCCAAAAGACAGUCUCUCUUGAUUUUUGUACGUUUUGAGCAUUGACUUCAAAAAGCGUCUGAAACAGCACU
rnacentral:lncRNA from 1 species